AUUUCUUGUAAUAUAUAAAUAAAUUUUUAUGUUUUUCUCUCUUCUCUCUUUUUCAAGGGAACUGUAGAAUUGGACAAAUCAACACUUAGCAUGUCCCCCUCCUGUAGGUCUUGUUGACCUUGGUGGCAUCGUGGAGGUCAUAUGUUCAUGGAGAUAAACAGUUCUUGAACGGUUUACUCCAGGUGGUAAAAACACAUGGGAAAGUGAUUUGGGCGAUCAAGAAACUGAACUUUGCAAGUAUUUUCUGUGAAAGGGUGAAUAAGCUAUCCAAAGUGAGUGAUUUUAGCCUGUGUAGAAAACAUCUCCAGCUGUGUUAAAUAUAAAGCUGUCAGUUCUUUGAAUAUCUCCUUGCAAUAAUUAAUCAUCCUUCUCAGUUAACAGCACAGACAGUACAGCACAG
rnacentral:lncRNA from 10 species